rnacentral:rRNA from 1 species
CGCCUUGCCAGCCCGCUCAGAAACUCAAAGGAAUUGAGGGGCCCGCACAAGCGGUGGAGUAUGUGGUUUAAUUCGAUGCAACGCGAAGAACCUUACCUGGUCUUGACAUCCCGGAGACCCUUAGGAAACUAGGGGGUGCUUCCAUCUGGAAGAAUCUGGAGACAGGUGCUGCAUGGCUGUCGUCAGCUCGUGUCGUGAGAUGUUGGGUUAAGUCCCGCAACGAGCGCAACCCUUGCCUUUAGUUGCCAGCAGUUCGGCUGGGCACUCUAAAGGGACUGCCGGUGUUAAACCGGAGGAAGGUGGGGAUGACGUCAAGUCCUCAUGGCCUUUAUGACCAGGGCUACACACGUACUACAAUGGCCGAUACAAAGGGCAGCGACACUGCGAGGUGAAGCCAAUCCCGUAAAAUCGGUCUCAGUCCGGAUUGGAGUCUGCAACUCGACUCCAUGAAGUUGGAAUCGCUAGUAAUCGUGGAUCAGCAUGCCACGGUGAAUACGUUCCCGGGCCUU